GUGUCAGCCGCCGCGGUAAUACGGGGGGUGCAAGCGUUGUUCGGAAUUAUUGGGCGUAAAGAGCGUGUAGGCGGCCGGAUGUGUCAGAUGUGAAAGCCCUGGGCUUAACCCAGGAAGUGCAUUUGAAACUGUCCGGCUUGAGUAGGGGAGAGGGAAGUGGAAUUCCUGGUGUAGAGGUGAAAUUCGUAGAUAUCAGGAGGAACACCGGUGGCGAAGGCGACUUCCUGGCCCUAUACUGACGCUGAGACGCGAGAGCGUGGGUAGCAAACAGGAUUAGAUACCCUGGUAGUCCACGCCGUAAACGAUGUUCACUAGGUGUUGGGGGUAUUGACCCCCUCAGUGCCGGAGCUAACGCAUUAAGUGAACCGCCUGGGGAGUACGGUCGCAAGACUAAA
rnacentral:rRNA from 1 species